rnacentral:rRNA from 1 species
CCUACGGGAGGCAGCAGUGAGGAAUAUUGGUCAAUGGACGAGAGUCUGAACCAGCCAAGUAGCGUGAAGGAUGACUGCCCUAUGGGUUGUAAACUUCUUUUAUAUGGGAAUAAAAUGUUCCACGUGUGGGAUUUUGUAUGUACCAUAUGAAUAAGGAUCGGCUAACUCCGUGCCAGCAGCCGCGGUAAUACGGAGGAUCCGAGCGUUAUCCGGAUUUAUUGGGUUUAAAGGGAGCGUAGGUGGAUUGUUAAGUCAGUUGUGAAAGUUUGCGGCUCAACCGGAAAAUUGCAGUUGAAACUGGCGGUCUUGAGUACAGUAGAGGUGGGCGGAAUGCGUGGUGUAGCGGUGAAAUGCUUAGAUAUCACGCAGAACUCCGAUUGCGAAGGCAGCUCACUAAACUGCAACUGACACUGAGGCUCGAAAGUGUGGGUAUCAAACAGGAUUAGAUACCCCUGUAGUC